rnacentral:hammerhead_ribozyme from 1 species
AUCCAGUAGACGAGUCACAAACAGGACGAAAUGCGCAUGCUGGAU